rnacentral:rRNA from 1 species
UACGUAUGGGGCAAGCGUUAUCCGGAUUUACUGGGUGCAAAGGGAGCGUAGGCGGCCUGGCGAGCCUGAUGUGAAAUACCGGGGCCCAACCCCGGGGCUGCAUUGGGAACUGCCAGGCUGGAGUGCCGGAGAGGCAGGCGGAAUUCCUAGUGUAGCGGUGAAAUGCGUAGAUAUUAGGAGGAACACCAGUGGCGAAGGCGGCCUGCUGGACGGUGACUGACGCUGAGGCUCGAAAGCGUGGGGAGCAAACAGG